UGCCAGCAGCCGCGGUAAUACGGAGGUUGCAAGCGUUGUUCGGAAUUACUGGGCGUAAAGGGUUCGUAGGCGGCUUUUUAAGUUGUAUGUGAAAGCCCCGGGCUUAACCUGGGAAAGUCAUACAAAACUGAUAAGCUAGAGUACAGUAGAGGGCAGGGGAAUUUCCGGUGUAGCGGUGAAAUGCGUAGAUAUCGGAAGGAACACCAGUGGCGAAGGCGCCUGCCUGGGCUGAGACUGACGCUGAGGGACGAAAGCGUGGGGAGCGAACAGGAUUAGAUA
rnacentral:rRNA from 1 species